UAAUAAACCAGGAGAAUCAGGAGUGAAGCUGCUCUCUGAUCUACUGAAGGAUCCACACUGUAAACUGGAGACACUACACAUUAAGAAUAAGAAACUCACCAGGUUUGGUGUAGGACAGGAGUCUCUCCUCAGACCUUUUUUCCAGGAUAAAUCAGUUAUGGUGAUGAAGCGUUAGAACACGUCCCACAUUUCCAGCAGUUUGGGAGCUGAAUCAUUCAUAUUCAGAUGUAGAAGAUCCAUAACACUUCACACUUUAACAUAUUUUACAAUCCAAAGUCAAAUCCUUCAGCAUCUACACAGAACACAGAGAUAUCAUCACAUCAUCACACUGAUUACACAAAUACACAUCCAUGUGUUACAGAUGUUUAUAGAUUAUUUUUACCUCUUUAAUUGUAUCUCAGAUUUGUUUCUCCACAGAUGAUUGACUCAAGAUUCAAGACUUCUUUUGUCACAUACACAAUUAUAUAGAGCAUAUAUAGAGUCCAGGUGAUGAAUACACUGUCGAGCACAAAACGCUGGCAAGGUGAGAAUUUUUCCCUAUUGAUUGGCAAGUAUGAGAGGGUUUUUUAGCUCACCUCUGGACCAAGGCUCUAAAAAUUAAUGAUGAAUGUAUACUGUGCUAGCAUAAAAUGAAACAUGCUUCCCUUCGCCACCCACUACUAAAUCCAUUGGGUUUUGCAGCUUUGCAGGGCCAAACCUCUCUCUGUGAAACCUUCACAACGUAUAUAUACAAAAUAGUCUGUUUAAUUUAUAUAAAAAAAAUUGUGUGCUAAAGUUUGUCAUUGCCAUAGUACAUAUGAUAUUUAUAUAACCCUUGUGCAGACCCGGGGUCUAUUUGACUCAUCUGAAAAGUUUAAUGUCAUAACUUGGGUUUCCUUACACAUAUUUGCCUGAAAUUUUGCAGGAUUGUUCCAAAUUAUGAACUUUGCAAGUAAAAUUAAUCUUGUCCUCCCGGGUCAGUUUGACCCAGCCACAUUUAGUCGGGCAAUAGGUCACACUUUUGCCCUUUUCAGUGCAAUGAACAUACAUACAGACACAAAAAUGCACACAUAAAAUGUCCACUAACACACGCACCCAAAACACACACACACAUACUUGUUUUUGCUACAUGGUGGGGACGCCUGACUGGGAGGUGACACUGAUUUCUAAAUACAUCAAGGCCACAAUUUUAAGUCAGAUGUCUCUUUUGGAUUUUUUGGUUCCCAAAAAUCAUCUUUAUUUUCAGAAAUACACAAGUUUAGAAAGCUCAAUUUUUGUCUGUUUUUUCUAUUCCGGUGGUGUUACAUCCUUUUCUAUUUGUUUUCUGUUUUUGGGGAGGUGUUUGUGUUUCUGUGCAGGAUAAACCCUGAUUGGUUCCUGAGGUUUACCUGGUGCCACGCCCUGCUGGUCAGCUGACUCCCUCUGGCCUGUAAAAGCCUCCACCACCACUUCCUGUUUAGCUUCUUUGGCUCAUUUGCUGUAAUCAUUUGCUUUCUGCUAUCUAGUUGUGUGAAAUUGCUCUGUGUAUUUAUAUUCUUAACAUUUCCUGUUAAUACUGACUCCUGCAUGUGCUUUUGACUUUGAUUCUGGAUUGCCCUUGUUUGGACCUGUUUGCUAAAUUGUAUAUAGUAUUUCUGGGGAAGUAGGGAGACCGAUGCCAUUUUGUUUGUACCUUUUUUUGAUUGUGUUUAUUCUUAGGGAGAUAGGGAAGUGAUUUGUGUUUUCUUUUUCUUUUGUUUAGUAGGGAAGUUAAACGUUGCAAUAAAUAGCCAUUUUGUUUGUUAUUUUGGCUUUGUCGGCUCCUGAAGACAUACCCCCGUUUGUACACUUGUUUUCCUAGUAAAAUAUUGUUCUUUCAGUUAA